AUUUCAUGAUUAAGGCAUCUUAAGAGCUUCUCCUUAAAUCUCCCUCAUUCUUCAUACCACAGCUCCUCAUGAAAUUGAUGAAAGUUCACAAUUUCUUUCCUCAAUAU